AAAAUGUUUGCUUGUUUCAGAAGGCCAUUCAGAACAUGGGGGUAGCCACAUUAAUUCAAUCUGAGAGGAUUGCAAUGUCUGCACGAGGCUGAUGACACUGAGACAGAGUUCCUGGCUGGAUAUUUUGGAGCAGGCACAUGUACCCUUUAUGUAUCAGGCAGGAAGUUUAUUUUGGGUGCUUGGGGAUAGCAUGAGGACAAGGAUGGUGAUUACAUGUUAUCUCCAUAAUUUGCAUGAUGUUGGUCUGUUGCAUAUUGGGAUUGUGCAGCGUUUAGGAUAACUCUUUGAGAUAUGCCCACUGCAC